GGCCGAGCGCGCUCAGCCCGGCGACCACCAGCCGCUCCAGACCCCUGCGCCGCUGCGACCCGGGUUUCGCCGCACCCAAGACCCAGCGAGUGCAGCGGCGGCCGCCGAGGAGGUUCGAAAACAUGGCCAAAAGAAAUGCCGAGAAAGAACUUACAGAUAGGAAUUGGGAUCAAGAAGAUGAAGCUGAAGAGGUGGGAACAUUCUCCGUGGGCAGUGAGGAAGUCUUGUAGAGCCAUAAAGAAAGCAAAGCGCAGAAAUGUUGGAUUCGAAUCUGACAGUGGAGGAGCCUUUCAAGGUUUUAAAGGUUUAGUGGUACCUUCUGGAGGAGGAUGGUUUCCUGGAUUUGGUAGUGGUGCUGGAGGGAAGCCUUUCGAAGGACUGUCGAAUGGAAACAACAUAACCAGCGCCCCUCCCUUCACCAGUGCAAAAGCAGUGGCAGAGCCCAAGGUAGCCUUUGGUUCUCUUGCUGCAAAUGGCCCUGCCGCCUUGGUUGGUAAAAAAGUUUCAAAUCCCCAAACUAAUGGGGACAGUCAGCAGCCCUCCUCCUCUGGCCUUCCUUCCAGUAAAGCUUGUGUCGGAAAUGCCUAUUAGAAGCAGUUGGCCGCCUUGAACUGCUCCGUGCGGGAUUGGAUAGUGAAGCAUGUGAAUACAAAGCCCCUCUGUGAUCUGACACCUAUCUUUAAAGACUAUGAGAAAUAUUUAGCAAACAUUGAACAGCAACACGAGAACAGUGGCAGGAAUUCUGAAAGUGAAUCUAACAAAGCUGCGGCUGAAACACAGUCUCCUUCCCUUUUUGGCUCAACAAAAUUACAGCAAGAGUCAGCGUUUUUGUUUCAUGGCAACAAAACUGAAGAUGCACCUGACAAGAAGGUGGAGGUGGCAUCUGAAAAGAAAACGGACCCAUCAUCACUAGGAGCGACAAGUGCCUCAUUUAAUUUUGGCAAGAAAGUUGAUAGCUCUGUUUUGGGCUCAUUAAGCUCUGUCCCCCUGACUGGAUUUUCAUUCUCCCCUGGAAACUCCAGUUUAUUUGGCAAAGAUAUUACCCAGAGUAAACCAGUCUCUUCACCAUUUGCCACUAAACCAUUGGAGGGCCGAGCAGAAGGUGACAGUGGUGAAUGCAAAGGUGGAGAUGAAGAAGAGAAUGAUGAGCCACCCAAAGUAGUAGUUACCGAAGUAAAAGAAGAAGAUGCUUUUUAUUCCAAAAAGUGUAAACUAUUUUACAAGAAAGAUAAUGAGUUUAAAGAGAAAGGCAUAGGUACUCUGCAUUUAAAACCUACAGCAAAUCAGAAGACACAGCUUUUGGUGCGGGCAGACACCAAUUUAGGCAACAGAUUGCUGAAUGUUCUGAUUCCACCCAAUAUGCCAUGUACGCUUCACGAGAAUUCAGGACCUGCAUUUUCAUUCUAAAAAGAAAUGAACAGCUUGUGAAGGAGUUUUUUGGCUUUGUAGUUUCUAUUCAUGAGGUAGUGUUACUUCUUUAUCCCCCUAAAGACAAAAUGAAGAUAAAGGGGGAUUGCCAGGAAUGGGUUUAAAAGCACAAAUUUGGUAGCUUAUCAUCUACACCAUGGAGAGUGAACCCUUACAAAAUGAAAGUCAAAUGAGACCAUCCUAGAAAAAGAAGAUGCUCAUAGGCAUUUGUGUACCAUGAUCAACCCCACGCAUAUGAAAACUAUGACCAAGUGACGUGCCUGGGAGCUUUGACACACGAGCCAUGUGAAUUCACUAGGAAACAUGUAAUAAGGUAAUGGAAGAGAAAA